AUACUUGAAUGCAAGGAAAUUUAUCGACAGACGGUUUUACCAAUUUUUUAUCAUGUAGAUCCAUCUGAUGUAGAAAGACAAAGUGGGAGCUUUGCAGAUGCAUUUAAUGAGCUUGAGAAUAAUUUUAAGGAGAAAAUAGAAAUGAUGCCCCGGUGGAGGGCUGACUUGAUGAAAGCUGCUACUAUAUCUGGAUGGGAUUCUCGGGUGAUAAGGUGUGUAUCAAUGCAUCUAUGCCUUUUAAAUUUUCAUUUUGAAGGUUUCAUAAGGGAAUAUAAAUUAAACUUUAUGAUUUUUUUGUACAAAUGUAAAUGCAAUCGACAAUUUAUUCUGAAGGUAGAAAACAAAAUACUGAAAAAUUGUAUCUUGCAAAACAAUUAGAUGAAUAGGAAAUUCUUGCUUAGACUCAGUCCACUGUGAACCAAGACACAAAGAAAAAUCCGAAACUAGUCUCUCUUUUCUGGUUUGCAAUUGUUGUAUAGAACAUGUUUUUCUCUUUUAGGACAUAAAAUGACAAGAACAAAAAUGUUUUAAUAAUAAAAGUAUUUUUGGACAAUUUGACAAGACCAGAAAAACAAAAUGGAUACCAAAUGGACCUAAAAUAGCAUCUUGCUGGCAAAAUCAUGGUCAUAAUUCAUAGAACCACUUGUGUUGGACUAGCAAAUGUAAAUUGUGUGGUUUAUGUAAAUAUGACUUAUGUUGUUUAUCCGGUAUCAACCAUUAAAUUCAAAUUAAUGAUUGAGAUUUCGUUGUCUAAUUUCUAACUAGAACAAAAUGGCUUUCCUUAGGCAAAACACUAUAUCUUCCUUUGACUUUUUUUCUUAAUCCAAUAAAAACCAAAAUUUUCAAUAUUCUAUAAUUCAAGAACUAAAGCGUUUGAUUUCAAAACAGAUGUGUUGGAAAACGAGGACUAGAAAUGUACUUAGUAAGCUUAUUUUGAACCAAAACAUCACUUUUUGUGAUAUGCUUUAACAUUCCUUAUUUGUUUUAAAACAUGAAUGAUG
rnacentral:misc_RNA from 1 species